UACAGAGGUCUCAAGCGUUGUUCGGAUUCAUUGGGCGUAAAGGGUGCGUAGGCGGCGCGGUAAGUCGGGUGUGAAAUCUCGGAGCUUAACUCCGAAACUGCAUUCGAUACUGCCGUGCUUGAGGACUGGAGAGGAGACUGGAAUUCAUGGUGUAGCAGUGAAAUGCGUAGAGAUCAUGAGGAAGACCAGUGGCGAAGGCGGGUCUCUGGACAGUUCCUGACACUGAGGCACGAAGGCCAGGGAGCAAACGGG
rnacentral:rRNA from 1 species